GCUACACUCUGUCCAGCCCCGCCUCUGACCUCAUUUUCACCCUCCACAAGACCACCCCCUUUGGCUUCUCCAUUACUCGUCGGUCCUCUGGUGAUACCCUCUUCGACACCUCACCAGACCUCUCAAAAGCCAACACCACAUUCCUCAUUUACAAAGACCAGUUUCUCCAACUCUCCUCAGCUCUCCCUGCUGACAGGUCAUUUCUUUAUGGCCUUGGAGAGCAUACCAAGAGAUCAUUCUUGAUUGAACACAAUCAAACUCUUACAAUGUGGAAUGCUGACAUUGCCAGUGCAAAUAUUGAUCUUAAUUUAUAUGGUUCCCAUCCAUUUUAUGUGGAUGUCCGGUCUCCAGACUCUGCUGGAAAAGUGGCUGCUGGGAUUAGUCAUGGGGUCUUGCUGCUUAAUAGUAAUGGGAUGGAUAUUGAGUACACUGGUGAUAGGAUUACUUAUAAAGUGAUUGGUGGAAUACUUGAUUUGUAUUUUUUUGCGGGAGAGUCCCCGGAAAAUGUGAUUGAUCAAUACACUGAGCUCAUUGGCCGGCCUGCUCCCAUGCCCUAUUGGUCAUUUGGUAAGUUGACAUGUUUAUAGAUGUCAGUGUCUGUCUUUUUCAUUUUUUUUCUCUUUCUAAUAUUGCAAUUAGACAUAUAUAAUUGUUAAGUAGCAUCAGGAGGGUGCAUGAAAGGUUUCGACGUAUGCAGUCUUACCCUUAUGUUUCAUGUGAACUAGCAAAUUUCAAGUAGAAGAUAAUGCGUACAUCUAUGAUGCUCCAAACUUUGUUUAGUUUUAUCUCUUAUCUCUGUUUGAAAUAAUAUUACUCUAAAGUAUCAUAUCAUUUGUAGUUUAAAUUUAAUUUCUCUUAUAGGAUUUCACCAAUGCCGCUAUGGCUAUGUUGAUGUGAAUGACCUUGAGGGUGUAGUUGCUGGUUACGCAAAGAGUAGAAUCCCACUUGAAGUGAUGUGGACAGAUAUAGACUACAUGGAUGGCUAUAAAGAUUUCACUUUCGAUCCUAAUAACUUUCCUCUAGACAAAAUGAGAAAAUUCGUCGAAACAAUUCACAGCAAUGGUCAGAAAUAUGUGGUCAUCGUGGAUCCUGGUAAAUUUUCUUUUCUAGCUAUAUUGGUGAAAAUAUAUGCAUUUAUGUGUGUUUACUAUCUAGAGCUGCCUUGUACUCAAGACUGAUAUUGUAAGUGCUCAACUUAAUCAUUUUGGCAAAUUUUCCAUAUAGUUCAUGAUCAUUGUACUCUAUACAGGAAUCAGCACCAACUCAACUUAUGAUACCUUCAUAAGAGGUAUGAAAGCUGACAUAUUUAUAAAACGCCUCUGGUGAUACCCUCUUCGACACCUCACCAGACCUCUCAAAAGCCAACACCACAUUCCUCAUUUACAAAGACCAGUUUCUCCAACUCUCCUCAGCUCUCCCUGCUGACAGGUCAUUUCUUUAUGGCCUUGGAGAGCAUACCAAGAG
rnacentral:lncRNA from 1 species